UUUCCAUCGCUUCUUCAGUCACACUAUCAGAUAUUGUUUUUUCUCAGUAUCCUUCUUGUCUCCUCCAUCUGACAGCGCCACAAUCAGAUCUCGUUUUCCCUCACCAUGAUUGCCCUAUACCCCUAUUCUUUGCCACCAAGGUCGCGAUGCUCAUUCUAUCUCGUCUCUUCUCAACCACACUCGGAUGAUUUAACGGAUGUCAAGAAAAAAGAUAUCGACCCGACCGUGCAAUUGCACUGUCUCUAUGAAAGAAGGAUCUGAAAAGGAAAAAAGUUGUUGAGUUAUGAUCAUUGAUCUUCUGCAUGCUCUUGAACACUACUUGCUAGUUCAUUCCAACCUCUAGUUCGGCCUCCAAAGUUACGUGCAGGGAACCAUUUACAAUGCAUAUUACAAUUUGUUUGGGUGAAUCAAGAAGAUGCUAUAGAGAUUUUAACUGCUUUUGCCAAUGCAUCUCAUGCACUACAGCCACUCAAAGUUCCUGAAUCCAGAAAAGCGAUUAUGAAGCUGGCAGGAGUGUAUUUGAGACUUAAAUGGUGUAGAGAAUUCAGGAAAAUGCCGAGGUUGGGAAAAACAAGUACUAAAGAAAAUCUUUCUACGUUGUCUAGUAAAAGAAAGUAA
rnacentral:lncRNA from 1 species